rnacentral:rRNA from 1 species
CAGCAGCCGCGGUAACACGUAGGUGGCGAGCGUUGUCCGGAAUCAUUGGGCGUAAAGGGAGCGCAGGCGGACAUAUAAGUCCAUCUUAAAAGUGCGGGGCUCAACCCCGUGAGGGGAUGGAAACUGUAUGCCUUGAGUGCAGGAGAGGAAAGCGGAAUUCCCAGUGUAGCGGUGAAAUGCGUAGAUAUUAGGAAGAACACCAGUGGCGAAGGCGACUUUCUGGACGAAAACUGACGCUGAGGCGCGAAAGCCAGGGGAGCGAACGGGAUUAGAUACCCGUGUAGUCCCUGUCUCUUAUACA